AUGCCAAGCCACAAAUUCGCCUGCCCGAAGGGCGUUCUCCACGCCCGGAUCAAUGACGUUCGCCAGGCGGUCACCAUCAAGUCGAUUCAUGAGUUGUUCCGUCGCUCCGGUGAUGGGUAUGUGAUCUGCGCUUACGAGCGGGUGGUGGACAGGAUGUACGGCAUGGAGGCGUACAUCGAGUUUCGGUCUCGAUGGACGGAGGCCCAAGCUCGAGAUGCCCUGGAUGGCCAUGCUAUCUAUGAUGGCUGCUGCAUCCUUGUCGUCGACCUCGUCCCGCCGUUCUACACCACCAUCACCAUGCCGGAUGACGGCGGGAUGGCACCUUUGUACUUCUAUGAUGACACUCCCUACGCGGAGUGGGCUGCAGCGUUGGCCGCGGGCAGGUGCCAUGAUGAGGCGCCUACUACAUCCAGCGACGACCUCCAACUCAAGGCGUCCAUGGGCUCCAUCAGCUCGACUCCGUCCGAGCUCGCCGCGCCUACAGCACCAACUUCGUCCACGACUGCCGACAACGCCCUCCUGGAGCUCAGUGUGAGUGACAAGGUGCUCGAAGUCGACGCUGCUAUGAUACCCACCACCUGUUCGACGGGGUGCCCAAGUUGCAACAAGCCCUAG
rnacentral:rRNA from 1 species